rnacentral:rRNA from 1 species
AGAGUUUGAUUAUGGCUCAGANNNNNNNNNGNCGGCGUGCCUAACACAUGCAAGUCGAGCGAGAAAGGGGCUUCGGCCCUGAGUAAAGCGGCGCACGGGUGAGUAACACGUGGGUAAUCUGCCCUAGAGUGGGGAAUAACACCGGGAAACCGGUGCUAAUACCGCAUACGAUCACGAUGUCUUCGGAUGUUGUGAUGAAAGGAGCAAUUCGCUCUUGGAGGAGCCCGCGGCUGAUUAGCUAGUUGGUGAGGUAACGGCUCACCAAGGCUACGAUCAGUAUCCGGUCUGAGAGGACGGUCGGACACACUGGAACUGAGACACGGUCCAGACUCCUACGGGAGGCAGCAGUGGGGAAUUUUUCGCAAUGGGGGAAACCCUGACGAAGCAACGCCGCGUGGGUGAUGAAGUCUCUUGGGACGUAAAACCCUUUCGACGGGGAAGAAACCGCAAGGUUGACGGUACCCGUAGAAGAAGCCCCGGCUAACUCCGUGCCAGCAGCCGCGGUAAUACGGGGGGGGCAAGCGUUGUUCGGAAUUACUGGGCGUAAAGGGCGCGUAGGCGGUUUGCUAAGUUGAAUGUGAAAACUCUGGGCUUAACCCAGAGCCUGCAUUCAAUACUGGCAGGCUAGAGUUCUGGAGGGGAUAGCGGAAUUCCUGGUGUAGCGGUGAAAUGCGUA